AUUUCCGUCCAAGGCACAGGCUUUGCGCAGGUGCACGUCUAAAUUUCGUUUUCACUAUAUUCAUGUUUUACGACACAGUAACGUAAACGCGGUGUUGGAGUUCAGUCCGGUUCAGAUUUGUACAUUCUGACAUAUGUCAAAUGGCAGAGCUACAACGCAUAUUAUGAAUUUUUCUUUUUUUGUUUGUAAAGAACGAAAAAACGAAAGAAAUAACUCCGUGGGUUGUUCUAGGACCGGUUAGAAGUUAUGGAGACGCAGAGAGGGAUUUAAGACAUACACAAAAAUGGGAACACUUUUGACAGCUUCGUUGCAAGGACGAAAACGUUACCGUGGCGGUGGUAUGAUACUCGACACACCACACUCAGACAGUAAAUUAUGUAGAGUCUUAGCUGCACUAUUUCUCUGUACAUUUGGAUUGACGGCGUACUAUGUUACAAAACCUGAGACGUUCUGGUUGAGGUUUGCAAGGGUAGGAAUAUUGACACUCACUUGUACUUCGGCGUUUAUGAUUUUGAUUCCUUUCCAAAUCAUUGAAGCAUGGAAGCGUAUCAAAAUUCCCGAUUUUGCAUCCAAAUUCAGCUUUCCUUCGUCAGAGAAACUGGUAUGGAACGAAAGUCUUUAAAGGAAAGAAUUGGUCUAACAAAUGUGUCCAUAUAAGGUACUUUCAGUAACAUCUCGCAUAAAUAAGAGUAAAAAUCAGUUGACAAUUGUUAUACCACCUACAAUUGAAUCCAAUAAUGAACACCACCCAACACCUUACAUGGAAAGUAUGCUGGCCCUUAAAAUGCCAACAAUAGUUCAAUACAAACAUGAAUGCCCACUUAAAUCUUCACUUAGAUCACCGCCUCAACCUUCGUUUCCACCAUUUGAAAAUAUAAACGAGGUGUCUUAAAGUCGCAACAAUGAAGCAUUAAAUGUUUAUAGUGUCGCAUAAAAUCAAAUAAGUAAUUGUGGCUUUUCAUAUGUGGACAAUAAUAUUCAAUGUGCUAAAAUUCAUGUUCUGUUUGGCCUAAUAUUAAUAAACCACCAGGGUGGUUGGUCAACAGUCAUUCAACAAUAAGAUUGAAGAACUCCAUACCUAGUACCUAGACUCUACAUCAUUUACCUACUCGACCAGUCGACAUCGCGUCACUCAGAAUGUUAUGCGAUUUAAUUUGAUUUUGCUUAUGUGUUAUAGUGUCGAAAUAAACGAAAAAAAUUAAUAAAAUUCAAUUUA